rnacentral:rRNA from 1 species
CUACGUGCCAGCAGCCGCGGUAAUACGUAGGGCGCGAGCGUUGUCCGGAAUUAUUGGGCGUAAAGGGCUUGUAGGCGGUUGGUCGCGUCUGCCGUGAAAUUCUCUGGCUUAACUGGGGGCGUGCGGUGGGUACGGGCUGACUUGAGUGCGGUAGGGGAGACUGGAACUCCUGGUGUAGCGGUGGAAUGCGCAGAUAUCAGGAAGAACACCGGUGGCGAAGGCGGGUCUCUGGGCCGUUACUGACGCUGAGGAGCGAAAGCGUGGGGAGCGAACAGGAUUAGAUACCCUGGUAGUCCACGCCGUAAACGAUGAGUGCUAGGUGUUGGAUCCUUUCCGGGAUUCAGUGCCGCAGCUAACGCAUUAAGCACUCCGCCUGGGGAGUACGACCGCAAGGUUGAAACUCAAAGGAAUUGACGGGGGCCCGCACAAGCGGUGGAGUAUGUGGUUUAAUUCGACGCAACGCGAAGAACCUUACCAGGUCUUGACAU